CAGAGGUGAAAUCCCACAGCUCAACUGUGGAACUGCCUUUGAUACUGAUAGUCUAGAGUAUAGUUGAAGUUGGCGGAAUGUGUCAUGUAGCGGUGAAAUGCUUAGAUAUGACACAGAACACCGAUCGCGAAGGCAGCUAGCUAAGCUAUAACUGACGCUCAUGCACGAAAGCGUGGGGAUCAAACAGGAUUAGAUACCCUGGUAGUCCACGCUGUAAACGAUGAUUACUCGAUGUUGGCGAUACACAGUCAGCGUCUAAGGGAAACCAAUAAGUAAUCCACCUGGGGAGUACGAUCGCAAGAUUGAAACUCAAAGGAAUUGACGGGGGCCCGCACAAGCGGAGGAGCAUGUGGUUUAAUUCGAUGAUACGCGAGGAACCUUACCUGGGCUAGAACGUAGAGAGACUAUAGGAGAAACCUUAUAUCCCUUCGGGGCUGUCUACGAGGUGCUGCAUGGUUGUCGUCAGCUCGUGCCGUGAGGUGUCGGGUUAAGUCCCAUAACGAGCGCAACCCCUAUCUUUAGUUGCCAACAGGUCAAGCUGGGGACUCUAAAGAAACUGCCUACGCAAGUAGUGAGGAAGGCGGGGAUGACGUCAAAUCAGCACGGCCCUUACGUCCAGGGCUACACACGUGCUACAAUGGCCGAUACAGAGGGCAGCUACCUGGUGACAGGAUGCAAAUCUCCAAAGUCGGUCUCAGUUCGGAUCGGAGUCUGCAACCCGACUCCGUGAAGUUGGAUUCGCUAGUAAUCGCGCAUCAGCCAUGGCGCGGUGAAUACGUUCCCGGGCCUUGUACACACCGCCCGUCAAGCCAUGGAAGUUGGGGGGACCUAAAGUCGAUAACCGCAAGGAGUCGCCUAGGGUAAAACCAAUGACUGGGGCUAAGUCGUAACAAGGUA
rnacentral:rRNA from 1 species